rnacentral:rRNA from 2 species
UUAAGCGACUAAGCGUACACGGUGGAUGCCCUGGCAGUCAGAGGCGAUGAAGGACGUGCUAAUCUGCGAAAAGCGCCGGCGAGGUGAUAUGAACCUUUGACCCGGCGAUGUCCGAAUGGGGAAACCCAGUGUAUUCCGAUACACUAUCGUUAACUGAAUACAUAGGUUAACGAGGCGAACCGGGGGAACUGAAACAUCUAAGUACCCCGAGGAAAAGAAAUCAACCGAGAUUCCCCCAGUAGCGGCGAGCGAACGGGGAGCAGCCCAGAGUCUGAAUCAGCUUGUGUGUUAGUGGAAGCGUCUGGAAAGUCGCACGGUACAGGGUGACAGUCCCGUACACGAAAAUGCACAGGUUGUGAACUCGAAGAGUAGGGCGGGACACGUGGUAUCCUGUCUGAAUAUGGGGGGACCAUCCUCCAAGGCUAAAUACUCCUGACUGACCGAUAGUGAACCAGUACCGUGAGGGAAAGGCGAAAAGAACCCCGGCGAGGGGAGUGAAAAAGAACCUGAAACCGUGUACGUACAAGCAGUGGGAGCACCUUCGUGGUGUGACUGCGUACCUUUUGUAUAAUGGGUCAGCGACUUAUAUUCUGUAGCAAGGUUAACCGUAUAGGGGAGCCGAAGGGAAACCGAGUCUUAACUGGGCGUUAAGUUGCAGGGUAUAGACCCGAAACCCGGUGAUCUAGCCAUGGGCAGGUUGAAGGUUGGGUAACACUAACUGGAGGACCGAACCGACUAAUGUUGAAAAAUUAGCGGAUGACUUGUGGCUGGGGGUGAAAGGCCAAUCAAACCGGGAGAUAGCUGGUUCUCCCCGAAAGCUAUUUAGGUAGCGCCUCGUGAACUCAUCUUCGGGGGUAGAGCACUGUUUCGGCUAGGGGGCCAUCCCGGCUUACCAACCCGAUGCAAACUACGAAUACCGAAGAAUGUUAUCACGGGAGACACACGGCGGGUGCUAACGUCCGUCGUGAAGAGGGAAACAACCCAGACCGCCAGCUAAGGUCCCAAAGUCAUGGUUAAGUGGGAAACGAUGUGGGAAGGCACAGACAGCCAGGAUGUUGGCUUAGAAGCAGCCAUCAUUUAAAGAAAGCGUAAUAGCUCACUGGUCGAGUCGGCCUGCGCGGAAGAUGUAACGGGGCUAAACCAUGCACCGAAGCUGCGGCAGCGACGCUUAUGCGUUGUUGGGUAGGGGAGCGUUCUGUAAGCCGUUGAAGGUGGCCUGUGAGGGUUGCUGGAGGUAUCAGAAGUGCGAAUGCUGACAUAAGUAACGAUAAAGCGGGUGAAAAGCCCGCUCGCCGGAAGACCAAGGGUUCCUGUCCAACGUUAAUCGGGGCAGGGUGAGUCGACCCCUAAGGCGAGGCCGAAAGGCGUAGUCGAUGGGAAACAGGUUAAUAUUCCUGUACUUGGUGUUACUGCGAAGGGGGGACGGAGAAGGCUAUGUUAGCCGGGCGACGGUUGUCCCGGUUUAAGCAUGUAGGCGGAGGUUCCAGGUAAAUCCGGUACCUUAUUAACGCUGAGGUGUGAUGACGAGGCACUACGGUGCUGAAGUAACAAAUGCCCUGCUUCCAGGAAAAGCCUCUAAGCAUCAGGUAACAUCAAAUCGUACCCCAAACCGACACAGGUGGUCAGGUAGAGAAUACCAAGGCGCUUGAGAGAACUCGGGUGAAGGAACUAGGCAAAAUGGUGCCGUAACUUCGGGAGAAGGCACGCUGAUAUGUAGGUGAAGCCCCUGCGGGUGGAGCUGAAAUCAGUCGAAGAUACCAGCUGGCUGCAACUGUUUAUUAAAAACACAGCACUGUGCAAACACGAAAGUGGACGUAUACGGUGUGACGCCUGCCCGGUGCCGGAAGGUUAAUUGAUGGGGUUAGCGGCAACGCGAAGCUCUUGAUCGAAGCCCCGGUAAACGGCGGCCGUAACUAUAACGGUCCUAAGGUAGCGAAAUUCCUUGUCGGGUAAGUUCCGACCUGCACGAAUGGCGUAAUGAUGGCCAGGCUGUCUCCACCCGAGACUCAGUGAAAUUGAACUCGCUGUGAAGAUGCAGUGUACCCGCGGCAAGACGGAAAGACCCCGUGAACCUUUACUAUAGCUUGACACUGAACACUGGUCCUUGAUGUGUAGGAUAGGUGGGAGGCUUUGAAGCGUGGACGCCAGUCUGCGUGGAGCCGUCCUUGAAAUACCACCCUUUAAUGGCUGGUGUUCUAACGUAGACCCGUAAUCCGGGUUGCGGACAGUGUCUGGUGGGUAGUUUGACUGGGGCGGUCUCCUCCCAAAGAGUAACGGAGGAGCACGAAGGUUAGCUAAUCCUGGUCGGACAUCAGGAGGUUAGUGCAAUGGCAUAAGCUAGCUUGACUGCGAGAGUGACGGCUCGAGCAGGUGCGAAAGCAGGUCAUAGUGAUCCGGUGGUUCUGAAUGGAAGGGCCAUCGCUCAACGGAUAAAAGGUACUCCGGGGAUAACAGGCUGAUACCGCCCAAGAGUUCAUAUCGACGGCGGUGUUUGGCACCUCGAUGUCGGCUCAUCACAUCCUGGGGCUGAAGUAGGUCCCAAGGGUAUGGCUGUUCGCCAUUUAAAGUGGUACGCGAGCUGGGUUUAGAACGUCGUGAGACAGUUCGGUCCCUAUCUGCCGUGGGCGCUGGAGAAUUGAGGGGGGCUGCUCCUAGUACGAGAGGACCGGAGUGGACGCAUCACUGGUGUUCGGGUUGUCAUGCCAAUGGCACUGCCCGGUAGCUAAAUGCGGAAAAGAUAAGUGCUGAAAGCAUCUAAGCACGAAACUUGCCCCGAGAUGAGUUCUCCCUGAGACUUUAAGUCUCCUGAAGGAACGUUGAAGACGACGACGUUGAUAGGUCGGGUGUGUAAGCGCAGCGAUGCGUUGAGCUAACCGAUACUAAUGAACCGUGAGGCUUAACCUU